CUACCCUUGACAUGGCAGGAAUUUUCCAGAGAUGGGAAAGUGCUCGAAAGAGAACCUGCACACAGGUGCUGCAUGGCUGUCGUCAGCUCGUGUCGUGAGAUGUUGGGUUAAGUCCCGCAACGAGCGCAACCCUUGUCAUUAGUUGCUACGCAAGAGCACUCUAAUGAGACUGCCGGUGACAAACCGGAGGAAGGUGGGGAUGACGUCAAGUCCUCAUGGCCCUUAUGGGUAGGGCUUCACACGUCAUACAAUGGUCGGUACAGAGGGUUGCCAACCCGCGAGGGGGAGCUAAUCUCAGAAAACCGAUCGUAGUCCGGAUCGCAGUCUGCAACUCGACUGCGUGAAGUCGGAAUCGCUAGUAAUCGCGGAUCAGAAUGCCGCGGUGAAUACGUUCCC
rnacentral:rRNA from 1 species